CCCACAUAGCUAGGAGGGGAAAGAGGGCUGGAAGGUGAGAGUGAAGGUGAAAGAAGAGGCGGUGUGUGUCUGGAGGACUUGAGUUUGCAAGGCAAAGAAGGGAGAAGGGUUGUGAAGAGAAGCCAGCAAGAGAACAAAGGAGGCUUUGCCUGAGAAGAGAGGGAGGUACCUUCCACGGAGGCCUCAGGGCCUGGGGAAGUGAGUCACUGGGCCUCCGGGUUGGACCCACCUCUGGGGGCUCCGUGGGACUGAAAAUGCAGCCCAGCUGGCCAGGCAUAGGCCCUGGGGUGCGGCAGGGGUUGUCAGUCUUUGGAGUCUGUUGGGUGGGGUUUUCCCCAGCACCCCCACCAUUCCCGCCCCCAGGACCUGGUGUGCGUCCAGCCUGGAGGCCUUGGCGACGGUUUUGUGCCUCAUUAGGCACAGCCAGGCGGGGCCCCAUGCCACUACUGCAG
rnacentral:lncRNA from 1 species